GAUGAACGCUGGCGGCGUGCUUAACACAUGCAAGUCGAACGAUGAAGCCCAGCUUGCUGGGUGGAUUAGUGGCGAACGGGUGAGUAACACGUGAGUAACCUGCCCUUAACUCUGGGAUAAGCCUGGGAAACUGGGUCUAAUACCGGAUAGGAGCGCCUACCGCAUGGUGGGUGUUGGAAAGAUUUAUCGGUUUUGGAUGGACUCGCGGCCUAUCAGCUUGUUGGUGAGGUAAUGGCUCACCAAGGCGACGACGGGUAGCCGGCCUGAGAGGAUGACCGGCCACACUGGGACUGAGACACGGCCCAGACUCCUACGGGAGGCAGCAGUGGGGAAUAUUGCACAAUGGGCGAAAGCCUGAUGCAGCGACGCCGCGUGAGGGAUGACGGCCUUCGGGUUGUAAACCUCUUUCAGUAGGGAAGAAGCGAAAGUGACGGUACCUGCAGAAGAAGCACCGGCUAACUACGUG
rnacentral:rRNA from 1 species